CAGCCGCCGCGGUAAUACGAGGGGGGCAAGCGUUGUUCGGAAUUAUUGGGCGUAAAGGGUGCGUAGGCGGCUUGACAAGUCUUGUGUGAAAUCUAUGGGCUCAACCCAUAGUUUGCACGGGAAACUGUCGGGCUUGAGAAUGGGAGAGGUGAGUGGAAUUUCCGGUGUAGCGGUGAAAUGCGUAGAUAUCGGAAGGAACACCUGUGGCGAAAGCGGCUCACUGGACCAUUUCUGACGCUGAUGCACGAAAGCUAGGGGAGCAAACAGGAUUAGAUACCCCAGUAGUCCCUGUCUCUUAUAC
rnacentral:rRNA from 1 species